AUUGAACGCUGGCGGCAGGCCUAACACAUGCAAGUCGAGCGGAGCGGCGGAAGGGUGAGUAAUGCCUAGGAAUCUGCCUGGUAGUGGGGGAUAACGUCCGGAAACGGGGGCUAAUAACGCAGACUAUCAGAUGAGCCUAGGUUGGAUUAGCUAGUUGGUGGGGUAAAGGCCUACCGAGGCGACGAUCCGUAACUGGUCUGAGAGGAUGAUCAGUCACACUGGAACUGGGACACGGUCCAGACUCCUACGGGAGGCAGCAGUGGGGAAUAUUGGACAAUGGGCGGAAGCCUGAUCCAGCCAUGCCGCGUGUGUGAAGAAGGUCUUCGGAUUGUAAAGCACUUUUAGUUGGGAGGCGUUACCAACAGAAUAAGCACCGGCUAACUUCGUGCCAGCAGCCGCGGUAAUAC
rnacentral:rRNA from 1 species